GUCUUCUGUGGUAACCAGGCCCAGAAAUCAGAUACCUACUACAUUUCACACUGUUUAUGAAUGAUAUUAAGAUGAAGAGGAUAUUCACUUACUUUUUAUGCUCAAUACGGGUGUCAAUGAAUGAGCUACAUAAAGCCAUUCUGAGGACAGGUUUGGAAGUCUCCACUUCAUCUACAGCUGGUUGUUCUGCAAGCCCUGGGAGAAAAUAUUGAUAUAGUAGUGUAAAAAUCAGAAACAACACCUGCUUGAUCGCUCACAGUCCCUCGGUGCAUUUGAUGUCUUUUUUCCAUCUUCUGAAGGUCCAUUUUGGUAACCAGGUGACACUUGUGGUCAUCAGGGAGAGAAAAGCACCACAGCUAAAACAAACAGGGGCAGAACUCCGCUGAUGUUAAAGGUCCGAGGUGGCUGGUCAAGAGUUCAAUAUCCCAGACGAUGAUAUAGUCGGCAGAGGCAGAGCAGAGGAGAACAGGUCCGCUUCCUUUUCCAAAGGUCAUGGCACUGAUCUCACCGUGGUGGCCAGUUAACAACAGGGGCUGUGGACAAACAUUUUGACUCAAGUAAAAUAUGCAAUAUAUUGUAACAAAUGUUUUCUAUUAGUGGCUCUUGGAUGAUAAAUUAAGUAAUUGAUAGAUCAAUAUUUUCUUUCUCCAUCAUAAAAAAAAAAAAUCAAUAUAAAUCAUAUUACUUCAUUGUAAGAUUAAUUUCGUCUUACUAGAUUGUGGCCAAUUUGUGCAAAUAUAAAGUACGUUUUUUAAUUACUUUUAUUUAGUAUUUUUAAAUGAAUAUGUGUUAUGACAUAUACAGAAUCUAACGUUAUACAAAACCAACAGGCUAUAGCUUGUGAUAGAAAUAAAAAUGGAAAAAAGGCAUGUGCAGAUACAAAAUACACAUGAGGACUAAUA